GAGCGGUAACACAUGCAAGUCGAACGGGAUUCAGUAGCUUGCUACUGAUGAGAGUGGCGCACGGGUGAGUAACGCGUAUGCAACCUACUUCUUCCAGGGGGUCCGACCGGAGACCACGGAUUGAUAUCCUACGGUAUUUAUUGUACGGAUGGAUAGUUAUUAAUGACUCAUCGGUAAGAGAUGGGCCCGCGUGACAUCCUUUUGUUGGUGAGGUAACGGCUCAGCCUCACUACGAUGUCUAGGGGUUCUGAGAGGAUGAUCCCCCACACUGGUACUGAAACACGGACCAGACUCCUACGGGAGGUUAGUCGAGGAACUUGGUCCUGGGCGCAAGCCUGAACCAACCUUCCCGCGUUAAGGAAGAUGGCCCUAUGGGUUGUGUCUUCCUUCUUGUACCUUUGUGGGCCUUACGUGUAAGGUUUUGACGGUACUGCAAGACUUUGCAUCGGCAAACUCCGUGCCAGCAGCCGCGGUAAUACUAAGGAUGCAAGCGUUAUCCGGAUUCAUUGGGUUUAAAGGGUGCGUAUGCGGAUAGGUAAGUCAGUGGUGAAAUCCUACAGCUCAACUGUAGAACUGCCAUUGAUACUGUCUAUCUUGAAUGUAAAUGAAGUGGAGGAAUGUAACAUGUAGCGGUGAAAUGCAUAAUAUGCUACAGAACAACAAUUGCGAAGGCACUCACUAAUAUACAACUGACGCUCAUGCACGAAAGCGUGGGGAUCAAAUAGGAUUAGAUACCCUGGUCGUUCACACUGUAAACGAUGAUUACUCGUUCUUGGCGAUACACAGCCAUCGACCAAUCUAAAGUGAAAAGUAAAUCAACCUGGGGAAGUCCGAUCGCAAGGUUGAAACUAAAAGGAAAUUGACGGGGCCCGCAUAAAGUGGGGGACCAUC
rnacentral:rRNA from 1 species